rnacentral:rRNA from 1 species
GACGAACGCUGGCGGCGUGCCUAAUACAUGCAAGUAGAACGCUGAAGGAGGAGCUUGCUUCUCUGGAUGAGUUGCGAACGGGUGAGUAACGCGUAGGUAACCUGCCUGGUAGCGGGGGAUAACUAUUGGAAACGAUAGCUAAUACCGCAUAAGAGUAGAUGUUGCAUGACAUUUGCUUAAAAGGUGCAAUUGCAUCACUACCAGAUGGACCUGCGUUGUAUUAGCUAGUUGGUGAGGUAACGGCUCACCAAGGCAACGAUACAUAGCCGACCUGAGAGGGUGAUCGGCCACACUGGGACUGAGACACGGCCCAGACUCCUACGGGAGGCAGCAGUAGGGAAUCUUCGGCAAUGGACGGAAGUCUGACCGAGCAACGCCGCGUGAGUGAAGAAGGUUUUCGGAUCGUAAAGCUCUGUUGUAAGAGAAGAACGAGUGUGAGAGUGGAAGGUUCACACUGUGACGGUAUCUUACCAGAAAGGGACGGCUAACUACGUG